rnacentral:misc_RNA from 1 species
GGAAUAUUGCACAAUGGGCGAAAGCCUGAUGCAGCAACGCCGCGUGAGUGAUGAAGGCCUUCGGGUUGUAAAGCUCUGUCUUUUGGGACGAUAAUGACGGUACCAAAGGAGGAAGCCACGGCUAACUACGUGCCAGCAGCCGCGGUAAUACGUAGGUGGCAAGCGUUGUCCGGAUUUACUGGGCGUAAAGGAUGCGUAGGUGGAUAUUUAAGUGGGAUGUGAAAUACCCGAGCUCAACUUGGGUGCUGCAUUCCAAACUGGAUAUCUAGAGUGCAGGAGAGGUAAGUGGAAUUCCUAGUGUAGCGGUGAAAUGCGUAGAGAUUAGGAAGAACACCAGUGGCGAAGGCGACUUACUGGACUGUAACUGACACUGAGGCAUGAAAGCGUGGGGAGCAAACAGGA